rnacentral:rRNA from 1 species
AGUGAACGCUGGCGGUAGGCCUAACACAUGCAAGUCGAACGGCAGCACAGUAAGAGCUUGCUCUUACGGGUGGCGAGUGGCGGACGGGUGAGGAAUACAUCGGAAUCUACUUUUUCGUGGGGAUAACGUAGGGAAACUUACGCUAAUACCGCAUACGACCUACGGGUGAAAGCAGGGGAUCUUCGGACCUUGCGCGAUUGAAUGAGCCGAUGUCGGAUUAGCUAGUUGGCGGGGUAAAGGCCCACCAAGGCGACGAUCCGUAGCUGGUCUGAGAGGAUGAUCAGCCACACUGGAACUGAGACACGGUCCAGACUCCCACGGGAGGCAGCAGUGGGGAAUAUUGGACAAUGGGCGCAAGCCUGAUCCAGCCAUACCGCGUGGGUGAAGAAGGCCUUCGGGUUGUAAAGCCCUUUUGUUGGGAAAGAAAAGCAGCAGGUUAAUACCCCGCUGUUCUGACGGUACCCAAAGAAUAAGCACCGGCUAACUUCGUG